rnacentral:rRNA from 1 species
AUUGAACGCUGGCGGCAGGCCUAACACAUGCAAGUCGAACGAGUGGCGGACGGGUGAGUAAUGUCUGGGAAACUGCCUGAUGGAGGGGGAUAACUACUGGAAACGGUAGCUAAUACCGCAUACCAUCGGAUGUGCCCAGAUGGGAUUCGCUAGUAGGUGGGGUAAAGGCUUACCUAGGCGACGAUCCCUAGCUGGUCUGAGAGGAUGACCAGCGACACUGGAACGGCGACACGGUCCGGACUCCUACGGGCGGCGGCAGUGGGGAAUAUUGCACAAUGGGCGAAAGACUGAGGCAGCCAUGCCGCGUGUAUGAAGAAGGCCUUCGGGUUGUAAAGUACUUUCAGCGGGGAGGCGUUACCCGCAGAAGAAGCACCGGCUAACUCCGUGCCAGCCGCCGCGGUAAUUC